rnacentral:rRNA from 1 species
CAGCCAUGCGUCAAGAAAAGCCGCUAUUGUUUAUACCGUACCCGUACCGUAAACCGACACAGGUGGAUGAGGAGAGAAUCCUAAGCCGGCGGAAGAAGCAUUGUCAAGGAACUCGGCAAAAUGGCCCCGUAACUUAGGGAUAAGGGGUGCCUGGGAAACCAGGCCGCAGAGAAUAGGCUCAAGCAACUGUUUAGCAAAAACACAGGUCUAUGCGAAACCGAAAGGUGAGGUAUAUGGGCUGACGCCUGCCCGGUGCUGGAAGGUUAAGAGGAGAGGUUAGCGCAAGCGAAGCUUUGAAUUUAAGCCCCAGUAAACGGCGGCCGUAACGAUAACGGUCCUAAGGUAGCGAAAUUCCUUGUCGGGUAAGUUCCGACCCGCACGAAAGGCGUAAUGAUUUGAGCGCUGUCUCGACAAUGCAUACGGUGAAAUUGAAGUACCAGUGAAGAUGCUGGUUACCUGCGCCAGGACGGAAAGACCCCAUGGAGCUUUACUCCAGUCUGGUACUGGGACUCGGUAUUGCAUGUACAGGAUAGGUGGGAGGCUAGGAUACAGUAACGCCAGUUAUUAUGGAGCCGCUGUUGGGAUACCACCCUUGCAGUAUUGGGUUUCUAACCAGCCGCCGUGACCCGGCGGUGGGACAAUGCCAGACGGGGAGUUUGACUGGGGCGGUCGCCUCCGAAAGGGUAUCGGAGGCGCCCAAAGGUUCCCUCAGAAUGGACGGAAACCAUUCGAAGAGUGCAAAGGCAGAAGGGAGCUUGACUGCGACACCGACGGGUGGAGCAGGUACGAAAGUAGGGCUUAGUGAUCCGGUGGUAUUAAGUGGGAAUGCCAUCGCUCAACGGAUAAAAGCUACCCUGGGAUAACAGGCUUAUCACUCCCAAGAGUUCACAUCGACGGAGUGGUUUGGCACUUCGAUGUCGGCUCAUCGCAUCCUGGGGCUGUAGUAGGUCCCAAGGGUUGGGCUGUUCGCCCAUUAAAGCGGUACGCGAGCUGGGUUCAGAACGUCGUGAGACAGUUCGGUCCCUAUCCGGCGUGGGCGUAGGAUAUCUGAGAGGAGCUGUCCUUAGUACGAGAGGACCGGGAUGGACGGGCCGCUGGUGCAUCGGUUAGACUGCCAAGUCUACGGCCGAGUAGCCAAGCCCGGAAGGGAUAAACGCUGAAGGCAUCUAAGCGUGAAGCCCCCCUUAAGAUGAGAUAUCCCAUUCGUUAAGAAGUAAACCCCCUUGAAGACGACGAGGUAGAUAGGGCAGAGGUGGAAGUGCAGCAAUGCAUGGAGCUGACUGUUACUAAUCGGGUGAGGGCUUGACC